rnacentral:lncRNA from 1 species
AGGACAUUAGCCUCCCCCUUUUUCUUCUCAUUUGACAAACCCUAGAUCCCCUUUCCUUCAUCGAUUCCCAUUCCCUGGACAAUCACCUGCACAUCAUGCCUAGAGGAUGAGAGUUUUAGCCUCUAGAUCUCCCCCUGACUUUGAUUUCAACAAAGUAGAGGGUGACCCAUGACGCACAUACCAGGUAAGCCCCUUUUCCUCCUUUCUUUCUCUUAUUUUCUUUCGCAUAUAAGAACCACAAAUAAAAAAAAAGGAAACUAAAGGAAAUAAAGCAUUUAGAGAUCUCUUAAUCAGAAAUCACCUUCUGUUUUUGCUUUCUAUUUCUUCUGUAUGCUUGAGUAAAAAAGAACCCUCAUACAAUAUAAACUCAUCGGCUUUAUAGCCGAAUGUUCAAAAAAAAAAGAAAUAAAAGAAUACAAUUUUGUUCUUUUUUGUAUUGGCCAUUGUUGCUGUUGUCCUUUUGUCCAUUUCUUUGCAGGUACAGGUGUGCGCUGGCGUCGUACGGAGACUGUGCCAGCGUACGAGGGCUGUUGAUGUGGAGGCAUGAAUGUUGUACGGUGCCUGGAGGCUGCUGGGGGUGCUGCGGCGCAAGCCAAGGCUGCUAGGGUUUCUGCCUUGGCUCUUGUUUUAGACAUUGGGCCUAUUGGGCCUGUAUUUGGGUCCUAGGUUUUUUAAAAAUAGGUCUAGGUUAUGUAAUUGGGUUUGGGCUAUGUAAUUGGACUUUAAACAUUUAAUGGACUGUUAUAAUUUUAUUUAUUUUUAUUUUUGGUUUGUUUUUUUAUUUUUAUAUGGGUCGGGAAAAUUUGGCCUACUACAGCUGCCCCUCUUUGCUCAUUGUCGUGUAACGAGAAUAGAGUAAAGACUAUAAAAAGGACCAAAUUUGCCCGGUCUGGCUAAGUCUCAAAAUCUGGAUCCUUAUCUUCCCCAAAGGUAUUCUGAUGUAUUCAGAAGUGUCAAAUUGGCUAUCCUCAACUUGCUUCUUGAAAACUCGAGAACACCAAUCUGUUAUUUUCGAUCUGCUCUCUGCCAAUACAGAGAUGCCAAAUCUAUCAUCUUCGAUCUGCUCUCUGUCAACACAGAGAUGCCAAAUCUGCUAUCUUCGAUCUUCCCUAUGACAAUACAGAGACGCCAAAUCUGCUAUCUUCGAUCUGCCCUCUGACAAUACAGAGACUCCAAAUCUGCUAUCUUCGAUAUGCCCUCUGACAAUACAGAGACGCCAAAUCUGUUAUCUUCGAUCUACUCUCUGUCAACACAGAGAUGCCAAAUCUGCUAUCUUUGAUCUGCUCUUCGCUAAUACAGAGACGCCAAAUCUCCUAUCUUCGAUCUGCUCUCCACCAAUACAGAGACGCCAAAUCUGCUAUCUUCGAUUUGCUCCCUGCCAAUACAGAGAUGCCAAAUCUGUUAUCUUCGAUCUGCUCUCUGUCAACACAGAGAUACCAAAUCUGCUAUCUUUGAUCUGCUCUCCACCAAUACAGAGACGCCAAAUCUGUUAUCUUCGAUCUGCUCUCUGUCAACACAGAGAUGCCAAAUCCGCAGGAUUCGCCAAUGUUGCUACACUGUCUUCUAAAGACAUGAUGUGUAGAAUGGGUUUCCUGUAUCGUGUAUGUCAAAUAACUAGGAUGCUAUGAUCAAGAUGAAUCAAAUGUCCCUAACUAGAUGUGGUGUUUAUGUCAAAUAAUUAGAAUGCUAUGAUCGAAAUGAAUCAAGUGCUCCUAACUAAAUGAAUGAUUAUGAAUGUAGAAAUGUCAUGAGAGUGAUUCCUUUUUAAACACUUAAGGUGUCAUUGCUCAUAAUUCACCCAGGUUCUAUCAUUGAUGUCCUAUCAUGCCCUCUUGCUUAACUGUUAUCUUCGAUAGAAAAUUUGAAGAAAUAGUCACAAUUAAGACUCUUCUUUUUCGAAUGUUUCCAACUUUGAACCUGAUUAGUCCUGACUAGUGGCCCUGUUUCAGGUUCUUGUACUAUUUAGAGACUUUCCAGAGUAAUAUGCAUAACAUCUUUUGUGUGAAUAUUACAUGUCCAAAAUCGUGAUUUCAACAAAAAAUGCUCGAAAGAGAUUAUCAUAAUGGACUAAAUAGAAUUUUAUUGAGUAAAACUCGAAGUGAAUACAUCAAACAGGAUAGCAAGUCUACUAAAGCACAAAAUAAAAAGAGAAAAGAGGUGCCCCAGAUAUCGCAUCACGAGUUUCACUAUUCUAAUUUCUCAAAGGCUCCUUCGAACCAAAUGUGUAUUUAGGAGAUCCUGCGUAUUUUGUUGAUGCUCCAAGGUGUACUGUUCUUCUGUCUUGCUGAUUUUGAGAGGACAAGACUACCAUAUGCCUCAUAUUUAAAACUUGAGCUGCCCGUUUUCGGGUUUUCAACUCAAAAGCCCCUUUGGUCUCAAAGUGCCCUUUGCGGGUUUUCACCUUGGCCUCUCCGUAUUUUUUUUUAUUUCAGAGCGCCCUUUGUGGGUUUUCACUCUGGCCUCUCUUUCUUCAGGUAAAAUACUUCUUGACCAAAUCCGAGUUUAUAGGAUUGGGCAAGUUUCUACCGUCCAUCUCAGCUAGAAUCAAUGCUCCUCCGGAGAAAGCUUUCUUCACCACGUAAGGCCCUUCCUAAUUAGGCAUCCAUUUCCCUUGAAAAUCCUUCUGUAUGGGAAGGAUCUUUUUCAAAACCAAGUCUCCUUCGUGGAAUUCUCUAGGGUGAACCUUUUUUUCAUAAGCCUGCAUCAUUCAUUUUUGGUACAUCUGACCAUGACGGAUAGCUCUUAGCCUCUUUUCCUCAAUUAAGUUCAAUUGAUCGUAUCGAGACUGGAUCAAUUCUGCUUCAUCUAACUUUAACUCAGAUAACACUCAGAGUGAUGGGAUCUCGACUUCAAUCGGCAACACCGCCUCCAUUCUGUAGACCAAAGAGAAAGGGGUUGCCACAUUUGAGGUUCUGACUGACGUUUGAUGAGCAAAGAGGGCAAACGGUAACUUCUCAUGCCAAUCUCUGUAAGUCUUGGUCAUCUUCCCCACAAUUUUCUUAAUGUUUUUAUUGGCUGCUUCCACUGCCCCAUUCAUCUUCGGGUGAUAUGGUGACAAGUUGUGGUGUCUGAUCUUGAAUUGACUGCAGACUUCCACUAUCGUACUAUUGUUCAGGUUUAAUGCAUUGUCAGACAUGAUCCUCUCCGGCAUUCCGUAUCGACAUAUGAUCUCUUUUUUCAGGAACUUGCUCACUGCUGACUUCGUGACACUAUCAUACGAAGCGACUUCUACCCAUUUGGUGAAGUAGUUGAUAACCACAAAGAUGAACCGAUGCCCAUUGGAAGCUUUCAGCGAUAUUGGUCCAAUCACAUCCAUGCCCCACAUAGAGAAUGGCCAUGGAAAAACCAUGACAUGCAGCGGUGAAGGAGGCAUAUGAAUUUUUUCUCCGUAGAUUUGGCACUUAUGGCAUCUUUUAGCGUAAUUGACACAGUCUCCUUCCAUGGUGGACCAAUAGUACCCGAAUCUCAUAAUUUGCCUGGCCAUUGUAAAGCCAUUAGCGUGUAUCCCACAGACGCCUUCAUGGACUUCUUCCAAGAUUUUAUUAGCCUCUACAGCGUCUACACAUCUUAGUAGCACUUGAUCCUUUCUUCUUUUGUAUAGGAUAUCCCCAUCUAAGACAUAGUCGAUGGCCAAUCUUCUUAGCGUUCUUUUGUCAUUCUCGCUUGCCUGGUCCGGGUACUCACGAUUCUUCACGUAUUACAAUAUAUCGUGAUACCAAGGGUGAUCAUCUUUCUCUUCAUCUUCUUCAAUAUUGUAACAGUGGGCCAAAAUUUCAUAAAUGCUCAUCUGGAUGGGUUUGACAUCUUUUUGUUUGUUCACCUUGAUCAUGGAGGCUAAGGUAGCCAAAGCAUCAGCUAUCUGAUUUUCGUCUCGUAGAAGGUAGUGGAAGGUAAUGUCAUCAAACUCUUUAACUAAUUCAAGGACCAGUUUUCGAUAGUCGAUCAACUUGGGGUCUCUGGUCUCCCAUUCUCCCUUGAGUUGAUAAAUCACUAGCGCAAAAUCCCCAUACACCUCUAGCACUUUAAUCUUGCGUUCUAUGGCUGCGCAGACACCCAUGAUGCACGCUUCGUAUUCCACCAUGUUAUUCGUAUAAUCAAAAUCCAAUUUACUAAUGAAUGGAUAAUGAUCUCCGUUUGGGGAUACCAAGAUGGCCCCGAUUCUAUUCCCCACAGCAUUUGACGCCCCAUCGAAGUUCAGUUUCCAGGGAAGUUCUUCCAGAGCACCUUCUUCAGUGGUAGCAAUACACAUUAGGUUUUCAUUCAGAAAGUCGAAGUUCAAAGGCUCGUAGUCUUUCAAAGCUCUACUGGCCAGAAAAUCUACUAUUGCACUUCCUUUUACUGCUUUCUGGUUUACAUAGACUAUGUCGAAUUCAGAAAGCAGAAUUUGCCAUCGGGCCAUCCUUCCAUUCAAGGCUGUUGACUCCAUCAUGUACUUUAAAGGGUCCAAUUUUGAUAUGAGCCAAGUGGUGUGAUACAACAUAUACUGCCUCAGCCUUCGGGUUGUCCAAAUUAGGGCACAACACAACUUCUCUAUCGGCGGGUACCUUGUCUCACAUUCGUGAACUUUUUACUAAGAUAGUAAAUGGCCUUCUCUUUCCUUCCUGACUCAUCAUGCUGACCAAGUACGCAUCUCAUGGAAUUCUCAAAUACUGCCAAAUACAGUAUCAAUGGCUUAUUAGGGUUAGGUGGCAUUAGCACCGGAGUGUUGGAUAAGUACUGUUUGACCUUAUCGAAAGCCCUUUGGCAUUCUUCAUGCCAUUCACCUGGGUUGAGUUUCUUGAAGAGGUGGAAAAUCGGGUCACAUUUCUCGGUUAAUUGUGAAAUGAACCGAGAGAUGUAAUUUAAUCUUCCUAGAAAGCCUCAAACUUCUUUCUGAGUGCGCGGCGGGAAUAGCUCUUGUAUGGCUUUAACUUUGUCUGGAUCGAUCUCGAUCCUUUUCUCACUAACCACGAAUCCGAGUAACUUUUCAAACUUUGCUCCAAAGGUACAUUUGGCGAGGUUGAGUUUUAGCUGAAACUUCCUCAACCUCAAGAACAAUUUUCUCAAGACUUGUAUGUGCUCAUUCUCUGUUCAAGACUUAGCUAUCAUAUCAUCAACAUAAACCUCGAUUUCUUUAUGAAUCAUGUCGUGAAAAAGGGUUAUCAUGGCUCUUUGAUAAGUUGCCCCCGCAUUCUUUAGCCCAAACGGCAUCACCUUGUAGCAGAACGUGCCCUACAUGGUUACAAAUGUGGUUUUCUCCAUAUAUUUAGGAUGCAUCUUGAUCUGGUUAUAUCCGGAAAAACCAUCCAUGAAUGAAAACAGUGAGUGUCCUGCCGUGUUGUCCACUAGGGUGUCGAUAUGAGGCAGUGGGAAAUUGUCUUUCGGGCUAGCUUUAUUCAAAUCUCUGUAGUCCACACACAUUCGCACUUUUCUAUCUUUCUUAGGGACGGGGAUGAUGUUGGCUACCCAAUCUGAGUAUUUUACCACCUUCAGGAAUCCGGCGUCGAACUGCUUUCGAACCUCUUCUUUUAUUUUUAGCAAGAUGCCGGGUCUCAUUCUUCGGAUUUUUUGCUGAACUGGCUUACAUUCUUCCUUUAUAGGGAGUCGGUGUACCACGAUGUCAGUGUUCAACCCGGGCAUAUCUUGGAUGAACAUGCGAAGACAUCUUUGAAUUCUUGAAGUAAUUCAAUGAGGUUUCGCUUCAUCUCCGUAGUGAUACAUGUUCCGAUCUUCACCUCUUGUCCUUCUCCUCAGCUCACAAUUUCAACUGGUUCUUUGUAAGGUAGGAUCUGUUUCUCAUCUUGUUCUACCAUUCUCAAUAAAUCAGGAAAUAGGUUAUAGCCUUGGUCAUCUUUAAAAUCCCGAGGAUCUUCCAUACACACAUCUCGCUCAAAAGGAAAUUCUAAGUCGCUAGCAAUGUCACUCAUAUCAUUAAUAUCUGGGGACCUAUUAUAAGGAUGAAGGCAGAUACAAAGAAUCAAAAGAAUUCAAAACAUUUAUUUGUGUGGUAUGAUUAUGAAUGACGAAUGAAAGAAUAUUUAGAAGAAUGUUUAAAGAAUAAAAGAAUCCGAAAGUAAUCAUUUGUAUGGUUAUGAAUGAAAUUGAAAGGAUGAGAGAACAUUUGCUCAAAAAUGAUAAUAACCGUGCAUUUUAUUGAAAUAACGUUUUUAAACAUCGGCCUAUUUCACAAAAGAUUCUUAUUACUCCUAGGCCUAGAGCAAUAAGUGUGUUUUGGACAUUACUCUGAAUCCGUUCUAAAAACUACAGGAAUCUCUUUCGCAGUCCAGUUGUCCAGAACACUUCCAGGUGUAUAGGGGCAAAUGCCCGACAAAUUUUCUCUUCUAGUCUCCUCUUCGUACAUGACGUUGAUGUCCAAGCUUUCCAGCCUUUCUUCUAUAGCUCUCGUCAUUGACGUGUCUUUCUCGGGACGAAUGAUUCCCCCGGACACAAAUGUUUUCGAUAUAUGGGGGAAUGUCAUUGGUUCCCAUUUGAUUUCCUCCCUCGUUAACCGUGCUCUCCUUCUUUCUUGCUUCUUUUCUAGCUCCUCCUCCUUUGUUUCACAUCCGGCUUAAAUCUUAAGCCGAAGCGGUCUCUCUUGUCCUUCAGCAUUGGCAUUUCAACCCUUUCUUGUAGAUGUCUCCCAAGUCCUCUUCCGGGUAGGGCCCCUUUUCCAAUCAUCAAUUGGAGGCUCAUCCUUGUGGUUUUGGACAAUUUUGGCACCAGAAUCUUGCUUCCCUCGGCGAUGAAGGUCACGUUAACAAAUUCCAAAGAUCGAAAUGAACAUUCGAUUGCUUCGUCAUCUGUCUCCAAAUAGGGCGCAUGAUUGCUCACAGUUGCAAUGAUAUCCUCCUCAACCUUGAUCGUUGUCAACCUCCCCUCCGAUACUAGCUUCAAUUUUUGAUGCAACGAGGAAGGCACUGCCCCAGCUGAAUGUAUCCAGGGCCUCCCCAACAAGCAAUUGUAUGAGGGCUUAAUAUCCAUUACGAGGAAAUCCACCUCAUACGUGUUUGGCCCGAUCUGAAGAGGUACCUCGAUUCUGCCCAUCACCUUCCUCUCUGUGCCAUCAAAUGCUUUCACGAUGUUCUGUCACUCCUUGUAACACACCAUACCCGAGACCGUUGACGGAGUCGAACAUGAGGUGCUAACAGACUUAAUUCAUUUAUUUGCACAAUCCAUUUUAAAAUUUCCAGACAAGCUGGCUAACUGCGUCACUAUCAUCUUAAAAAACAUAUCUCGAGUUCCAAGACUCGAAAACCAGUUCUGUAAAUUUUUCCUGAAACUAGACUCAUAUUUCCAUCUACAAAUUUUUUUAUAGAAUUUUUUGUCUAGCCAAUUAGUACAGUUUAUUAGUUAAAUUCUCCCCUAUUUCAGGAUUCGACUACUCUGACCUUCAUGCAUUACGACUUAGAUAUCUCCCUGUACAGGGCUUCAAUACUUAUGAAGUUUGUUUCUAAAGAAACUAGACUCGAAAAUGAAUCUUUACAUAUAGGGCAUGACUUCUAAUUAUCUCUGGUUAAUUUAUAGUGAAUUUCCAAAGUCGGAACAGGGGAUCCAGAAAUUGCGCUGGCCCUAUUUCACGAAAACUUAAACAUCUCAUAAAAUAUGGCUGAUAUGAUCGUUUCGUUACUUUCAUAUGAAAAUAGAUUCAUCAAGGUUCGAUUACAUAAUUUAUUCACUAUUUAAUUUCAUUCCUACUAUUUUUAGCGAUUUUUCAAAUUCACAUCACUGCUGCUGUCAGCAUCUAUUUUUAAGGUAAACUUUACCUAUUUCAUGGUUUUCCAUGGAUCAACUAAAAUUUUGUCAUACAUAGCACCAAAAUGAUCGUGAUUAACCAUUCCAAUGGCUAAUCGUUACCAAAAUUUCCAUAACACUCCAUGAACAACAUACAAAAUGAUUAUAACGCUAUGCUCAAAAUAUAUAUAAGCCAUUUUCGCAUGGCUAUCCAAAUAUAUACAUUACCGAAAGGUACAUGACCAACAACAAAAGGGUAGUCCUAUACAUGCCAUUUUCAGAGUUCAACUAAAAGAGUACCAAAAGGGCUUUGAUAGUGUGGAUGACUUCGACUUUGACACUCCCGAAUCCGAUAGCUGACGAACCAAAAUCUAUAAAACAAAGAAUCAAAGAAACGGAAUAAGCAUUUAAUGCUUAGUAAGUUUUGAGUAAUGAAAUCAUGCACAACUGAAGUAUAGCAUUCAUAUGACUAAACGAAUAAUUUCAUAUACACAUAUUCUCACAAUCAUACCUACUUCACAUUUCCAACCCUUAUAUUCAUACAUAAGGAAUCAACUUGACUAAAGGCCGGAAGCUUGUUAAUCGAUUGAGCGAAUACUAUUUAAAAGGAAUCAAUUAUUCCAAUGCAUAAACAAAACAUACCUCAUCGAUAGGGUUUUACGAGCGUAUUAAUUGAAAUUAUUACAGCAAGAUUGCUCAUUCCCAAACCAAGUACCUUCGGGAUUUAGCCGGAUAUAGCUACUCGCUCAAUGCCUUCGGGACUUAGCCCGGUUAUAGUAACUCGCACAAAUGCCUUCGGGACUUAGCCCGGAUAUAGUAACUCGCACAAAUGCCUUCGGGGCUUAGCCCGGAAUUAGUCACUAGCACAAAUGCCUUCGGGACUUAGCCCGGUUAUCAUCCGAAUAUUCAUGCACAUAUCAAUAAAUCAUGACACAUCUAUAUUUCAUUUUCAUAACUAGAAUUCAAAUACAAGUUACUUAUCAAGCAUUAUCAUUUUCGGCUCAAUAGCUACAUACAAAGAGCAUGAUUUUGAUUUGCUUAUAACAUGAUCUAAUCGAAUCAUAAUCUAAGUUCCAUUACUCGAAAACUUACCUCGGAUGCUGUUGAACGAUUUCAACGGCUAUUCGAUCACCUUUUCCUUUCCUUUAUCGGAUUUAGUUCCCCUUUGCUCUUGAGCUUAAUAUUAACAAAUAAAUCGAUUUAAUCAUUUUGAACAUCAAAGAGGAAUUCAAGGUACUUAGCCCAUAUAUAUUAGGCAUUAGAGUCAUAUAUGUAUGAAAUCAUGAAUCAAAUUCAACAUAUUAGCCAAUAUUCUCCUUUAGCCGAUUUUCUAAGUCAAGAUUAAGCCACCAAUAUGCUUACUUAUAGCCGAAUACAUGCAACACCAAUCUAUGUAUUCAUUCAUGUGGUUGAGUAUACAUAUUCCAAUAUGAUAUCAUUUCCAUUUCGUUUAACACUUAACAUUUACCACAUAUCAAUUAACCCAUUUCUUUACUCAUGUGGCCGAUUAUACUCGGUCAUGCAUACACAUGAUUAAGUUAUUUAACACCUAACUCACAUAGUCAUAGUGUACAAAAUCUUAAGGUCCACAUAUGAAUACCCCCAAGUUCCCAUGACUUAACCCCUAACCAUAUUUUUGUCGAGAAUUCCUUGAAUUUCUAUUAGCAUACACACAUAUAAUCAAUUUGGAGACUCUAUUAACCCAACAUACAUCCGGCAAUAGUCUAUAGCUCUCUCGGCCACUCAUUUCACAACUUAACAAAGCUUCAAUUCGAAAUCAUUAGUGAGCAUCAAUUAACUUAAGCUACCUUUAAAAUUUUAUUUAUCACCUCAUGCCAAACCAUCAAAAUGAACUAAUUAUAAUUACAUAGGUACUACCAAAGCCGAAACCUAUGCAUACUAUUAUUCCUUAUGCCCAAACCAAAGACCACAUUCGGCACUUUCAUCCACCAUUCUACCAAGCAUGUAAUAUUCAAACACAACCAAACUCACAUUCGGCCCUAGUUCAUAACAAGGUAGCCGAUUCUUUCCCCUAGUAUCUAAUGCUCACCUAUGAUUCUUUUUAUAGUUCAAACACUCAUCUAUCAUCAUUUGAUUAUAUAAUUUGUAGCAUGGCCGGCCACUACCCAUAGUUUGGCUAAUUUGACAUGCAAGUACAAGCACUUUCCCACAUAUAUUAAUAGGCCACUUUAGCACUUGCCUAGCACAUUUCUAAAUUGUCUCACAUAAGUCCCUACUAAUAAAUUUCACAUACACUGACCAAAUUAGAGUAUGAAACUUUCACACAUGCAUUUACUCACAUCAUAAACACAGAAUAUAACUUUUAAUUAUUUAUAAGACUCAGUUUCGUGGUCCCGAAACCACUUUCCGACUAGGGUCAAUUUAGGGUUGUCACAACUCUCCCCCACUUAAGAAAUUUUCGUCCCCGAAAAUCUUACUAGUAAAUAGGUUUGGGUAUCGUUCUUUCAUAGAGUUCUCAGUUUCCCAAGUAGCUUCUUCGAUUCUGUGUUUGAGCCAUAACACCUUUACUAACGGAACCCUAUUGUUUCGCAACUCUUUCACUUCACGAGCUAGGAUACGAAUCGGUUCUUCUUCAUAACUCAAGUCAGAUUGAAUUUCAACCUCUGAUGGACUAAUUAUGUGCGAAGGAUCAGAUCUGUAACGUCAAAGCAUCGAAACAUGAAAAACGUUGUGAAUUCUUUCAAGUUCAGGGGGUAAAAGCAACCUAUAUGCAACUGGACCAACUCGUUCGGAGAUUUCAUACGGCCCAAUGAAUUUCGAACUCAGUUUGCCCUUACGGCCAAAUCUGAGUAUCUUUUUCCAAGGUGAAACCUUAAGAAACACUUUGUCUCCCACCUGAUACUCAAUAUCUCUUCGUUUUAAAUCCGCGUACGACUUCUGACGAUCGAAUGCUGCCUUCAGACUUUCACGAAUUAUUCUUACUUUCUGCUCAACAUCUUUAAUCAAAUCAACUCCGAAAAUAUUACUUUCACAGUGCUCCGUCCAAAACAAUGGUGUGCGGCAUUUACGACCGUACAAAGCCUCGUAAGGUGCCAUCUUAAUACUUGAUUGAAAACUAUUGUUGUAAGCGAAUUCAAUCAAAGGUAAAUACCGUUCCCAUGAACCACUAAACUCAAGGAUGCAACAUCUCAACAUAUCCUCGAGUAUCUGAAUUAUCCGCUCGGAUUGACCAUCGGUUUAGGGAUGAAAAGCAAUGCUAAAAUGCAGCUUGGUACCCAAAGCUUCUUGCAAUUUCUUCCAAAAUCGCGAGGUGAAUCUCGGAUCUCUAUCCGACACAAUAGAAAUAGGUACCCCGUGUAAUCUCACAAUCUGAGAAACAUACAAUUCAGCUAGUUUAUCCAAUGAAAAAUCCGUACGUAUGGGGAUAAAGUGAGCCGACUUAGUCAGUCUAUCAACAACAACCCAAAUCGCAUCUUUCUUACUUGCCGAUGCUGGCAACCCAGAUACAAAAUCCAUUGUGACUCGAUCCCAUUUCCAUUCAGGUAUCAUGAUCGGCUGAAGUAAACCUAUAGGCACUUGAUGUUCCGCCUUCACUUGCUAACAUAUUAAACACUUCGAAACAAAAUCAGAAAUGUCUCGUUUCAUACCAUGCCACCAAAACUAACGUCUCAGAUCGUUGUACAUUUUCGUACUCCCCAGGUGAAUUGACAUUCGGCUACAAUGAGCUUCAUUCAGAAUCAUCGAAAUAAGUUCUGAAUUUCUUGGAACACACAAACGACUUCUGAACCUCAAACAAUCGUCAUCAUCAAUUUGAAACUCUGAUUCCAUAUUCGAAACACAUUCAGCCCGUCUUGCGACCAAUUCAUCAUCGACUUUCUGAGCUUCACGAAUUUGAUGAAUCAACAAUGGUUUGGCCUUCAAUUCUGCUACUAACACAUUGUCGGAUAGAACAGACAAGUGUACAUUCAUUGCUCGUAAAGCAAAUAGUGAUUUACGACUUAAAGCAUCCGCAACCACAUUAGCCUUUCCCGGGUGAUAGUCAAUGACAAGCUCAUAAUCUUUUAACAACUCGAGCCAACGUCUUUGUCGCAGAUUCGAGUCUCUUUGAGUCAUCAAAUAUUUGAGACUUUUUUGAUCCGAAUAUACAUGGCACUUCUCACCAAAUAAGUAAUGUCGCCAUAUUUUCAAAGCGAACACGAUGGCGGCUAGUUCGAGAUCAUGGGUUGGAUAAUUCUUCUCAUGUGGCUUCAGUUGUCUCGACGCAUAAGCUACAACUCGACCCUCUUGCAUCAAUACACAACCCAACCCAAGUAGGGAUGCAUAACUAUAAAUGACAAACUCUUUGCCUGAUUCGGGCUGCACUAGUACUGGAGCUUCAGUCAAAUAAGUUUUCAGUUGAUCGAAACUUUUCUGACACCUUUCUGUCCAUUCAAACUUAACAUCUUUCUGAAGUAGUUUCGUUAUUGGUGUGGCUAUCAUCGAGAAACCCUUCACAAAGCGUCUGUAGUAACCGGCAAGUCCCAAAAAGCUCUGAACUUUAGUAAUAUUUCUCGGAGGCUUCCAGUUAAGUAUGGCUGAAAUUUUGCUCGGAUCAACACGAAUACCCGAUGCAGAUACCACAUGACCCAAGAAGCUAACCUCUCUUAACCAGAACUCGCACUUACUGAACUUAGCAUAUAACUGCUUAUCCCGUAAAAUCUGCAACACCAAUCUCAGGUGCUCAGCAUGUUCGGUCUCAUCUCUUGAAUAGACUAGGAUGUCAUCAAUAAACACAACUACAAACCGGUCCAAAUACUGUCUGAAGACCCAAUUCAUCAAAUCCAUAAAUACCGCAGGGGCAUUAGUGAGUCCAAACGGCAUCACUAAGAACUCAUAGUGACCGUAUCUCGUUCUGAAAGUAGUUUUGGGUAUAACCGAAUCUCGAAUUCGCAACUGAUAAUAACCCGAUCUCAAAUCUAUCUUUGAAAACACUGAGGCUCCCUUUAGUUGAUCAAACAAAUCAUCAAUACGCGGUAACGGAUAUUUAUUCUUUAUUUUCAUUUUAUUCAGCUGACGAUAGUCGAUGCACAACCUCAUGGUUCCGUCCUUCUUUUUCACAAACAAUACUGGUGCACCCCAAGGUGAGAAACUUGGUCGAGCGAAACCUCUAUCCGUCAACUCUUGCAACUGAGCUUUCAACUCUUUUAACUCGGUUGGUGCCAUAUGAUACGGAGCUAUGCUAUCGAAAUCGGCGUAGUCCCAGGUACAAGCUCAAUACCAAACUCUACCUCCCGAACAGGUGGUAAACCCGGUAAUUCUUCGGGAAAAACAUCCAGAUAUUCACAAACCACCGGCACAGAUUCAGGUUUCUUUUCUAACUCUUUGUCAUCAAAUACAUACGCAAGGUAUGCUUCACACCCCUUUCUUACAUAUUUCUGAGCCAACAUCGAUGAUAUUACAGCUGGCAACCCAUUCAAGUCAGUAGACUCAACUCGGAUUAUCUCGUUAUUUAUACACCUCAAAUCAAUGGUUUUGCUUUUGCAAUUCACAACCGCAUCAUGCACGGUCAACCAAUCCAAACCGAGAAUAACAUCAAAUUCAUCAAAUGGUAAAAGCAUCAAGUCCACCGAAAAAUAGGAACCUCGAAUUACUAGGGGACAUUUCUUACACACCUUAUCAACAAGCACACAAUGACCCGAGGGAUUCGACACUCUAGUAACGAACUCAGUAGACUCAACAGGUAAAGUCUUACUGGAUGCUAAAGUUUCACAUAUAUAAGAAUGAGUAGAACCAGGGUCAAUCAAUGCAAUCACAUUAGUAUCAAAGAGAGUAAAAGUACCGGUAAUAACAUCUGGCGAGGAAGCAUCCUCUCGUGCACGUAUGGCAUAAGCUCUAGCAGGGGCACGAGCCUCAGAUUUGGUCGUAGCGUCUCUAGAUCCUCUCAGAUUUCUAGGUGGUCUACCUCAAGCAGUAGUAGCAGCCGGUUUCCCACUCUGAUUUACAUUUUGUUCAGACAGUCUCGGGCAAUCCUUGAUAAAGUGGUCAGCUGAUCCGCACUUAUAACAGGAGCGGUCAUGGAAUCUACAACUCCCCGAAUGCCAUUUACCACAGUACUGGCACUCUGUUCUGUCUCGACGAUCAUUUCCAACACUGGCAACCGAAGUGACUCGUGUACUCACAGGGGGUCAAUCACGAUCUCGUCUAGAAAAGCCCGAAGUGUCUCUAGGUCGACCUAAAUCAUCUCUAAAUUUCUUCGAUGACUUUUGAAAGGGCUUUCCUGAAGAUCUCUUACGAAACUCCUUUGCUCCCAUAUCAGCUUUUCUUUUCUCCUUACUGAGCUCUUCGGCUUUGCAAACUCACUCGACAAGUACCACAAAUUCUCUAAUUUCUAAAAUGCCAACAUACAGCUUUAUAUCAUCGUUCAGUCCAUCCUCAAAACGUUUACACAUCACAGCUUCUGAAGAAAUGCAUUCUCGAACGUACCGGCUAAGCCUUACAAACUUUCGUUCAUAAUCAGUAACCGACAUGGAAACUUGUUUAAGUUCAAGAAAUUCCUUUCGUUUUUGAUCAAUGAAUCUCUGACUGAUAUACUUUUUUCGAAACUCGGUUUGGAAAAACUCCCAAGUUACUUGCUCUCUGGGCACAACAGAAGUCAACGUAUUCCACCAAUAAUAGGCAGAAUCACGUAGCAAAGAGAUAGUACACUUUAGGCACUCAUCGGGUGUGCAAGAUAGUUCAUCGAAUACCCGAAUAGUGUUGUCCAACCAAAAUUUAGCUUGCUCGGCAUCAUCGCUGUCCGUAGCUUUAAAUUUAGUAGCCCCGUGUUUUCGAAUUCUGUCAACUAGGGGCUUAUUUGACCUUAUUUGGUCAGUUACCGGAGGUAUUGUAGGUGCGGGGGUUGUAUUAGUCGGGAAUAGAGGUUGUGGAACAGCCGUAUUAGUUCAAAUGUAUUGGUUGAACCAAUCAUUCAUCACGCUAUAAAAAGCUUGUCUAGCUUCAUCAUUCUGAUUACUAGCAAUAGGUUGAGAGUCUGCCGGCGCUGUCCCUUGCGCGGGGGCAGGCGCUACACUCUCAAGAUCAUCAGCUACCACUCGGUUGGGAUCGGGAUCCAUUUCUAUAAGUAAACACAUUUUUAACUGUCAGAAAUCACCACACUAUCAAAUAAACACAUAAUGGCAUGUAUAGCUAGACCCAAACGUAUUACGGUAGUCCUAGAAUCGAGUAAACCGUAGCUCUGAUACCAAUAAAAUUGUAACACCCCGUACCCGAGACCGUUGACGGAGUCAAACACGAGGUGCUAACAGACUUAAUUCAUUUAUUUGCACAGUCCAUUUUAAAAUUUCCAGACAAGCUGGCUAACUGCGUCACUGUCACCUUAAAAAUCAUAUCUCGAGUUCCAAAAAUCGAAAACCAAUUCCGUAAAUUUUUCCUGAAACUAAACUCAUAUUUCCAUCUACAAUUUUUUUUCUAGAAUUUUUGAUCGAGCCAACUAGUACAGUUUAUUAGUUAAACUCUCCCCUAUUUCAGGGUUCGACUACUCUGACCUUCAGGCAUUACGACUUAGAUAUCUCCCUGUAAAGGGAUUCAAUACUUAUGCCGUUUGUUUCUAAAGAAACUAGACUCAAAACAGAAUCUGUAAAUAUAGGGCAUGACUUCUAAUUAUCUCUGAUUAAUUUAUAGUGAAUUUCCAAAGUCGGAAUAGGGGAUCCAAAAAUCGCUCUAGCCCUGUUUCACAAAAACUUAAACAUCUCAUAAAAUACAGCUCAUAUGAUCAUUUCGUUACUUUCAUAUGAAAAUAGAUUCAUCAAGGUCCGAUUACAUAAUUUAUUCACUAUUUAAUUCCAUUCCUACUAUUUUUAACGAUUUUUCAAAUCCACAUCACUGCUGCUGUCAGCAUCUAUUUUUAAGGUAAACUUUACCUAUUUCAUGGUUUUCCAUGGAUCAACUAAAAUUUUGUCAUACAUAGCACCAAAAUGAUCGUGAUUAACCAUUCCAAUGGCUAAUCGUUACCAACAUUUCCAUAACACUCCAUGAACAACAUACAAAAUGAUUAUAACGCUAUGCUCAAAAUAUAUAUAAGCCAUUUUCGCAUGGCUAUCCAAAUAUAUACAUUACCGAAAGGUACAUGACCAACAACAAAAGGGUAGUCCUAUACAUGCCAUUUUCAGAGUUCAACUAAAAGAGUACCAAAAGGGCUUUGAUAGUGUGGAUGACUUCGACUUUGACACUCCCGAAUCCGAUAGCUGACGAACCAAAAUCUAUAAAACAAAGAAUCAAAGAAACGGAAUAAGCAUUUAAUGCUUAGUAAGUUUUGAGUAAUGAAAUCAUGCACAACUGAAGUAUAGCAUUCAUAUGACUAAACGAAUAAUUUCAUAUACACAUAUUCUCACAAUCAUACCUACUUCACAUUUCCAACCCUUAUAUUCAUACAUAAGGAAUCAACUUGACUAAAGGCCGGAAGCUUGUUAAUCGAUUGAGCGAAUACUAUUUAAAAGGAAUCAAUUAUUCCAAUGCAUAUACAAAACAUACCUCAUCGUUGGGGUUUUACGAGCAUAUUAAUUGAAAUUAUUACAGCAAGAUUGCUCAUUCCCAAACCAAGUACCUUCAGGAUUUAGCCGGAUAUAGCUACUCACUCAAAUGCCUUCGGGACUUAGCCCGGUUAUAGUAACUCGCACAAAUGCCUUCGGGACUUAGCCCGGAUAUAGUAACUCGCACAAAUGCCUUCGGGACUUAGCCCGAAUAUAGUAACUCGUACAAAUGCCUUCGGGGCUUAGCCCAGAAUUAGUCACUAGCACAAAUGCCUUCGGGACUUAGCCCGGUUAUCAUCCGAAUAUUCAUGCACAUAUCAAUAAAUCAUGACACAUCUAUAUUUCAUUUUCAUAACUAGAAUUCAAACACAAGUCACUUAUCAAGCAUUAUCAUUUUCGGUUCAAUAGCUACAUACAAAGAGCAUGAUUUUGAUUUGCUUAUAACAUGAUCUAAUCGAAUCAUAAUCUAAGUUCCAUUACUCGAAAACUUACCUCGGAUGCUGUUGAACGAUUUCAACGGCUAUUCGAUCACCUUUUCCUUUCCUUUAUCGGAUUUAGUUCCCCUUUGCUCUUGAGCUUAAUAUUAACAAAUAAAUCGAUUUAAUCAUUUUGAACAUCAAAGAGGAAUUCAAGGUACUUAGCCCAUAUAUAUUAGGCAUUAGAGUCAUAUAUGUAUGAAAUCAUGAAUCAAAUUCAACAUAUUAGCCAAUAUUCUCCUUUAGCCGAUUUUCUAAGUCAAGAUUGAGCCACCAAUAUGCUUACUUAUAGCCGAAUACAUGCAACACCAAUCUAUGUAUUCAUUCAUGUGGUCGAGUAUACAUAUUCCAAUAUGAUAUCAUUUCCAUUUCGUUUAACACUUAACAUUUACCACAUAUCAAUUAACCUAUUUCUUUACUCAUGUGGCCGAUUAUACUCGGUCAUGCAUACACAUGAUUAAGUUAUUUAACACCUAACUCACACAGUCAUAGUGUACAAAAUCUUAAGGUCCACAUAUGAAUACCCCCAAGUUCCCAUGACUUAACCCCUAACCACAUUUUUGCCGAGAAUUCCUUGAAUUUCUAAUAGCAUACACACAUAUAAUCAAUUUGGAGACUCUAUUAACCCAACAUACAUCCGGCAAUAGUCUAUAGCUCUCUCGGCCACUCAUUUCACAACUUAACAAAGCUUCAAUUCGAAAUCAUUAGUGAGCAUCAAUUAACUUAAGCUACCUUUAAACUUUUAUUUAUCCCCUCAUGCCAAACCAUCAAAAUGAACUAAUUAUAAUUACAUAGGUACUACCAAAGCCGAAACCUAUGCAUACUAUUAUUCCUUAUGCCCAAACCAAAGACCACAUUCGGCACUUUCAUCCACCAUUCUACCAAGCAUGUAAUAUUCAAACACAACCAAACUCACAUUCGGCCCUAGUUCAUAACAAGGUAGCCGAUUCUUUCCCCUAGUAUCUAAUGCUCACCUAUGAUUCUUUUUAUAGUUCAAACACUCAUCUAUCAUCAUUCACCUAACUUUAACAUGAAACAACAAAACUCACCAUUAUUAACUACCAUAGUCGAAAACCUUACUCAUUCCAAAAUCAAAAUUUCAUCAUGGGUUACAAAAAUAACUUGAUAUCUCCCUCAAGAUCAACUAAAAUUUCAAGAACUAAUAUGAACACCUUACCUUAAUAUUGACCUAAGAGGACCGAAUGCUUUCCUCCCUUCUUCCUCCUUUCAUUUCGGCCAAGAAGAACCAAAGAAUACAACUUGUUUUCAUCCCCGAAUGCUCUUGUUCUUUUCUUUCUUUAGAAUCGGCUAGGAAGAAACAUGGAUGAAGACUUUGUUUCUUUCACCCAUUUCCUUCCUUUAAUUAUCAUUUCUUUAUUUUAUUACAUCCUCCAUACUAAUAUGGCAUCUAGCUAAUUAAAGUUAAUAUAAAAUUCACAUUUGAUUAUAUAAUUUGUAGCAUGGCCGGCCACUACCUAUAGUUUGGCUAAUUUGACAUGCAAGUACAAGCACUUUCCCACAUAUAUUAAUAGGCCACUUUAGCACUUGCCUAGCACAUUUCUAAAUUGUCUCACAUAAGUCCCUACUAAUAAAUUUCACAUACACUGACCAAAUUAGAGUAUGAAACUUUCACACAUGCAUUUACUCACAUCAUAAACACAGAAUAUAACUUUUAAUUAUUUAUAAGACUCGGUUUCGUGGUCCCGAAACCACUUUCCGACUAAGGUCAAUUUAGGGCUGUCACACUCCUUCAUGUGAGAGCUGUCUAUAGGUAACCUAUUCAACGUGGUCAAUGGCAGGACAUUCAAAGCCGACCCAUUGUCAAUCAGUACGCCUGGCAGCGUAUACCCUUUACAGCGCGUGGAGAUAUGCAAAGCUUUAGUAAGCCCCAUGCCCCCGAGUGGUAUCUCAUCGUCAUUGAAAAAGAUAUAGUUGUCGGCACUGAUAUUGCUAACCAAGCGGUCCAACUUGUUAACGAAGAUAUCAUUGGCAACGUAUGUUUCAUUCAAGACCUUUAUCAGUGCGCUACGAUGAACUUCUGAGCUUAGAAGUAAGGCCAGCACCGAGAUACGGGCUGUUUGUUUACAUAGUUGUUCUACCACACUGUAUUUGCUAUACUUUAGGAAUUUUAAAAACUCAUUGGCCUCCUCUUCGUUAACUGGCUCGUUAACAGGCUUGGUUGCUUUUUCUUUCAUUUCUUCAACCACUGGGGCUUUUCCUUUUGUGGGUUGUGCCUUCUCAUUUUCUGUAUCGAAACGUCUCCCGCUAUGUGUAUAGGAGUCCCUAUCUUGGUUCCCUCUUGAAACGUUGAUCGGGCUCUCCUUUCCCGGCAUCGUCACACUGCAUUCAUAAUUCCAUGGGACCGUUUUGCUGUCUUUGUAGGGGAAGACUGCAGGUCCUUGAAUUAUGACCCUUGGUGGCAUUUGUACUCCAGCUUCAUUAUUUUUGGGUCUUGAUAUGAUGACCACAGGGUAGUUAGCUGUUUCAUUCUACGCCUUCGAUUCUCCCUCUGAUGCGCAUAUAUCUCCUUCUACGGGGUUUUUGGCUUCUUCAUGAAACUCAAUUUCCUUAUUGUUCAUCAUGUUUUGCACUAAGGCUUUGAACUCCAUGCAAUCUUAGAUUUCAUGCCCCACCUCGUCGUGAAACUCACAGUAGUUUCUCUCUUCUUCAGAUUCUUCCCUAGAAUCCAACGCGAUCAAUCCUCUCUUGGCCAUCUCCUUCCAUACCCGCCUCAACGAGGUCCUAACUUCUGCCACCUCAUACUUGGUCUUUUUGUUCCUACCUUCACUUAUCCCAUUCACUCCUUGGUCAAUAUGAUUAGAGAGUGGGUUUCCUACUACAUUGGGUGUGGCUGGGUUGUCAAAUCUCACAAUCCCCAUCUUAAUGAGUCUUUUGACUACUUUCUUAAACGCAGCGCAGUUUUCAAUAGAGUACCCGAUUAUUCCCGCGUGGUAUUCAUAUUGGGCGUUUGUGUCAUACCAUUUGGGAUACAAGGGCUGCAGUGGCUUCAGGUAGAAAGGGGACAUCACAUGAGCUUUGAACAGGUUCUGGUACAACUCCCUAUACGUCAUGGGUAUAGGGGUGAAUUGUGGCCUUUCUGUGUUCUCCCUCGCGUUGGAUUCUUGUCUUAUAGAGCUUUGCUUAUUGGUGGUCAUCGUCUUGGGCUGAUUUACGGUGAGUGACUUGGACUGACCCUUGUUGAAUGUGCUCGUGUUGUUCACUUCAUUGUCUCUUUUCCUCGGGGCCGACUUCCUAGCACUCUCUCCCGAUUCUAUCUUGCCGCUUCUCACAGCAUUUUUGAUCAUUUCCCCCGUCAUCACUAUGUUAGAGAAGCUUUUUGUGGUGCUUCCCAACAUAUGAGUGAUAAAAGGGGCUUUCAGGGUGUUAAUAAAGAGCAUUGUCGUCUCUUUUUCUAAAAGUGGCGGCUGAACUUGUAUGGCAACCUUUCUCCACCUUUUUGCAUACAGUCUGAAGCUUUCAUUUGACUUUUUUUUCCAUAUUCUGGAGAGUGAUUCUGUCGGGGGUCAUAUCCGUCACAUGAUUGUAUUGCUUCAUAAAGGCCUGAGCCAGGUCCUUCCACGAGUUAAUUUUAGCUCGGCUCAGUUAGUUAUACCACUUAGACGCCGCCCCGACCAGACUAUCUUGAAAACAGUGGAUUAAUAGCUGGUCAUUGUUAACAUAUCCCGUCAUUCGCCUGCAAAACAUUAUGAUGUGGGCUUCAGGGCAGCUUGUUCCAUUGUAUUUCUCGAAUUCGGGCAUUUUGAAUUUAAGGGGAAGGGCUAAAUCUGGGACCAAACUCAGGUCCUUGGCAUCAAUCCCUUGAUGAUGAUCCGCGCUCUCCAUGGCUUUGAAUUUCUCCUCAAGCCAUCUACACCACUCUUCCAAUUGUUUUUGCGAAUCCAUCCUCGCCUUUUCUUCUUCAGCAAUUUCAUCCAAAUUAGGAACGGGUGGAUAGUUCGGGUUGUUGACAAAGUUAGAGCCUGAGCCGGCUUGGAAGUUCAUCGGAAUUGAAGCUCUGGCCUAAACUUGCUGGGGCAUGAUUGUGACAGAUGGUUUUUGUAGGUUAAUCUCGGGAUUCAUCGGUAUAUGUGUCAGAGAAAAGCCAGGGGGUAUUGGAGAUCCUCAUUAGUUCCCUCAGCUUUGUCCAUGGGGCCCUUUCCCUUAUCCAUUCCUUCCAACAGCAAUUUGGAUAACUGGGACAUCAUUUUGCUUUGGGACUCAAUUAUUUGUUCCUUCAUCUCUCGCUGAAUCUUGGCUAGCUGCUCUUGCAUCUGAGACUGCAUUUGUUCUUGCAUGUCCUUUUGCAUUUGCUCCAAUUUCUCGAGUCUCUUAUCCAUUGAUUUUUUCCUUGUAUCGUAGGGGUGCGUGGUUGGUUGGUUUUCGUUGGUUUUCAUUGGUUUCCAGGUUACUGAAAUAAUUUUUAAUUAAUUAAUUAGAAAACUCUUAUGGCCUUUAAUGCAUAAUGAUAUGAUGUAAUGCAAAUGCAUGAAUGCAAAGGAGGCAUUAAUUUUGAUUCAAUUACCCUUAGAAAAUUUCACUUGAAAAUUAACUCUUUUACAUAAAGUUGAGUUACAAAUAAAAUUUCGCUCUAACACUCAAAGUCCUAAUUUUUCUAAGCAACGAGGCCAUCUCUUUUCCGCAAUCUGACUCCAACUCAUAUUUCACGUUCAGUGUAUCUGCCUGAACCGCUAAAGUUUGCAAGUAGUCUGCUACCUCCCGAAUCUGGGUUAUGGCUUCCUCCAUAAGGUAAUCUCUGUUUCUAACUUGGUCUUGUGCAUGGUGAAGCUGCUCUUUCUAACGAUCCUCGUUUGCCUCGAAAAACUGGAUCCGCAUCUCACAGUUUUGCAGUGACGCCUCUAACUCUUCUAUUCUUCUUUUCAUUUCUUCUAUCUUGCUCAAGCUUGCCCUCAAUUCUAUUGUGGUGUUGCGGUUUCGAUACUGAUGCAGAGACUUCUCGAGUUCUACCACUCUAGCCCUUAAUUCACCUCGCUCAUUUCUGCUCUCCGAUAGACUCUUUUCCAAAUCUUCGUUUCGUGCCUGAGCUUCUCGAAAUUUCCUUUCCCACUGGUCGGUAUUGGCCUUUUCUUCUCGAAUUUCAUUGUGCCAUUGUUCGGAAGUCUUACCUAAACCCGCAGUCCUCAUAGAUAGGUGCAGCUUCUUGUAGUCCGUCUUCAAGCUAUCUAGAUCCUCUUCAGCCUUAGUUUUUCCUUUUCUCCACUUCUCAGCCUCUGACCUCUGAACAUCAGCGUCUAAUCUCAGGUGCAUCUUCUUUUCCUCCAAUUGUUCGAUCUUCUUCCCAAGCUCCAAACUCUUCUUCUCGAAAUCUUGCCUUAUAAUCUCCAAUUCUGAUGGGGCGACUUGUAAUUGUUCCCCGAUAGGUCGAGUAUUCUCCAAGCUUGGCCUAGGAAUAUUAUCAUUAACCCUUUUUUUAAACCACUCGUUAUACUCGAGCAUUAUCGUAGAACCGAUGGCUAACCUCUUUAUCCAACAAGUUUGCUUCCAACCAUCCGAUAACUCCCGAACUCUCUUCUUAUAGUGAGCACCCUUGAAAGAGAAUUCACUCUAAGCAAGUCCGUAGGUAAUGGAGUAUACCCAGUAGCUCCCCAAAUUCCUAACAACGGCACCCAAUCAAAGUUACCACAUCGGUACAUGAUCUCAUCAGGAACCAUCCAAUAAGCUCUCCACUCGAUAUCUCCCUCUUUGAGGUUCUAAAGAAUGUCCAUCCACUUCUCCUCCGAGAUAUUCUCUCUUCUUUGUAUAGCUGCCUUUUCUUUUAAUGGGGAAUAACCUUCGAAAAAGACCCGAUAGGAAACCUUGUCUACCUUCCAAAAGUGCCCGUGAAACUAUGCCAUCAACAACUGUGCACAUCCAAUAAACCGUCCCUCGCCUGUCUUCCGACAUGAGCUCAAAGAUCUGAACGUUUCUGCCAAUAUCGCUGGUACCGGAGUGAUUCCUUUCUCAAGUCGAUCGAAUAAGUCAAUGACUGCCUCAUCCACGUGCCUCAAAGCCUUAGGAAAAAUUACCAAUCCGUAGAUGCUUAAGGCGAAGAUGUCGACCCUUUUUCUUUUGUCUAGAUGCGUCAAGAUCAAAUCUCGUAAAUUCUCCCAAGGGAUAUAUUUACUGUCUCCUUUUUGCUGAAUCCGAGCAAUAACCCAAGGCUCGCUCAUCCCAGAAAUGCUCAUCAAUUUCUUCACGAAGGUCUGACUACUAAAAACCUGGGCAUAUGUCUUCCGGACCUGAAUCUUUGGACACCUAAGCAGCGUAGUGUAUUCCUCUAUGGUAGGUACCAAAUCCACUUCUCCAAAAGUGAAACACUUGUACGCAGAAUUCCAAAACUGCACCAAGACUAGGAACAAAUGCUUAUCCAUUCUAAUGUCUAGUAUGUAGGAUAUGUCACCAUAGCUUUGGUAAAAUAACUGCUUGAUCCCUUCAUCCCAACUAGCCCAAAUGUCUCUCAACUCUUGCAGCUCAUUCUGUACUACAUUGACGCGAGUGAAAUCCUGCAACUCCGAUACAUACCCUUCUGCCAAGCUAUCCCCUCUCUCUGAUUGUAGCCUCUUCGACCAUGCACGAACGGCCGCAUUAUCAUCGACUUUACUAAGAAAUUCAUUCUCCAUGUCAGACUUUCUAACUUAGUAAUUGAAUACGGAUUAACACCUCCUUUAAUAUGCAAUGUCAGGCAACAAAAAAAGACAAUCAAAACAAAACACAGGUUAGUAUCAAAUAAUAUCGAUAAAAUGCAAGCACAUAAAUGAUAAUCACAACACAUAUACGUGUAAGUACUAAAGCUCGACGUGGCUCUACAUAAGGAUAGCUUCUAAGGUUCACUAUAUGUGGUUUAGUUCUAGGGAUAAGGGUACCCGAACCAGCAGAUUCCUCAAUCUUCACCCGUUAUAGGCUUAUAUAGAUCGAGUUCGGUUCGGGGGGAUACAUUUCCCUAUGACCAUGCGGAGAUGAAAAUCUCACAAAAUCAUAGGUACGGAUGUACCCCGGAAGCAAUCCACUAGCCCAUGCGGAGGUGAAAACCUCACGAAAGCGUAGCUUCUUACUCCUACUUAGAAGGUGUGACCACAGCAGUCAUGUAAUGAAAUGCAGUACUAUUCUAUGAGACCCGCACCAAAAUGAUCAUACAAUCAAAUGCAAUCGAAAGAUACAUGAUUUUUUCAAAAUAAAUUUUCGGUCUUUGACAAAAGGACAGUAAAUAAUCGAUUUAUGGCUCGACUCUCAACCAAUCCCUAGUGGAGUCGCCAAGCUGUCGAAACCACCCUUUUUAUUUAAAAAAUUUUAGGUUUAAUGAAAAUACAGGGGAAUCGACUUUUUGAAAAACAGAAAUAUGGAGUCGCCACUGAUCUUUUUGUUUUGGUGUGAUCGGGUCACCUAAGAAUUUGGUUAUUUUAAUAAAACAUUUUCGGUUUACUAAAACAUCGAUUGUGGUCUAUGAAAAUUUUAGAAAAUGGGCUCGGGAGUCGGUUACGUAUGAGGAAGGGUUAGCACCCUCACUACGCCAAAAAUUGGUACCAAAUCGAUUACAUACUGUCCUUAUGUCUAAAAUUAACAAAGUUUUUGAAAUGUGGUUCCUUUUUAAUAACAUUUGAAUAACCCGAGUUGAUUGUCAAAAUCUUCUUGUUUCAACGUCCGAAAAUUUAUAAUUUGAAAAUCACAAAAGGAUGCCCAACUAUUUGGUCCAACGAAAAACCGAUACCCAGCACAGUAGGGCACGAUUCCUCGAAUUUUCGAACAUCUAACAUUGCCUCACCUUAGAAAAUACGAGUGAAAUUCCGAAGGGAUCUUCAAUUAUUUUGAGCAGAUGAAAAAGCGCAACCCAGCACGAUAGGGCUCAAUUCUCAAAUCGCCAUGUAACACCCCGUACCCGAGACCGUUGUCGGAGUCGGACACGAGGGGUUAACAGACUUAAUUCACUUAUUUGCACAGUCCAUUUUAAAUUUCCAGACGAGCUGGCUAACUGCGUCACUGUCACCUUAAAAAUCAUAUCUCGAGUUCAAAAAUUUGAAAACCAGUUCCGUAAAUUUUUCCUAAAACUAGACUCAUAUGUCCAUCUACAAAUUUUUUUAUAAAAUUUUUGGUCAAGCUAAUUAGUAAAGUUUAUUAGUUAAAGUCUCCCCUGUUACAGGGUUCGACUAUUCUGACCUUCAUGCAUUACGACUUGGAUAUCUCCCUAUACAGGGCUUCAAUACCGAUUCCGUUUGUUUCUAUAGAAACUAGACUCGAAAAGGAAUCUAUAAAUAUAUGGAAUGGCUUCUAAUUAUCUCUGGUUAAUUUAUAAUGAAUUUCCAAAUUCUGAACAGGGAAUCCAGAAACUAUUCUGGCCCUGUUUCGCAAAAACUUUAAAAUCUCAUAAAAUACUGUUCAUAUGAUCGUUUCAUUACUUCCCUAUGAAAAUAGAUUCAUCAAGGUUCAAUUACAUAAUUUAUUCACUAUUUAAUUCCAUUCUUACUAUUUUUAGUGAUUUUUCAAAUCCACACCACUGCUGCUGUCAGCAUCUGUUUUUAAGGUAGACUUUACCUAUUUCAUAGUUUCCACGAUUCAACCAGCCCUUUAGCAUAUAUAGCACAAAAUAUGAUCUUGAUUAACCAUUCCAAUGGCUAAUCGUUUCCAAACAUUUCCAUACCUCUUAAUGAACAACAUACAAAACGAUUAUAAUACUAUGCUCAAAGUGUAUAUAAGCCAUUUUCGCAUGGCUAUCCAAAUUUAUACAAAACCAAAGGGUACAUGACCAACAACAAAAAGGGUAGUCCUAUACAUGCCAUUUUCAGAGUUCAACCAAAAGUGUACCAAAAGGGCUUUGAUAGUGUGGACGACUUCGACUUCGACUUCGACAAUCCCGAGUCCGAUAGCUGAUGAACCAAAAUCUAUAAAACAGAUAUUCAAAGAACGGAGUAAGCAUUUAAUGCUUAGUAAGUUUUGAGCAAUGAAAUUAGGCACAACUGAAGUAUAGCAUUCAUAUAACUAAACGGAUAAUUUCAUAUACACAUAUUCACAACAAUCAGUCCUACUUCACAUUUCCAACCCUUAUAUUCAUACAUAAGGGAUCAACUUAACCAAAAGCCGGAAGCUCAUUAAUCGACUGAGCGAAUAAUAUUUAAACGGAAUCACUACUCAAAUGCAUAUACGAAACGUACCUCAUCGUUGGGAUUUUACGAGCGUGUUAAUUGAAAUUAUUACAGCAAGAUCGCUCAUUCCCAACCAAGUACCUUCGGGGUUUAGCCGGAUAUAGCUACUCGCUCAAAUGCCUUCGGGACUUAGCCCGGUUAUAGUAACUCGCACAAUUGCCUUCGGGACUUAACCCAGAAAUAGUAACUCGCACAAAUGCCGCCCAGAAAUAGUAACUCGCACAAAUGACUUCGGGACUUAGCCUGGAAAUAGUAACUCGCACAAAUGCCUUCGGGACUUAGCCCGGUUAUCAUCCGAGUAUUCAUGCACAUAUCAAUAAAUCAUGACACAUCUCUAUUUCAUUUUCAUAACUAGAAUUCAAACACAAGUCACCUAUUAAGCAUUCCCAUUUUCAGCUCAAUAGCCAUUUACAAACAGCAUGGUUUGGUUUGCUUUAUGACAUGAUCUCUAUGCACAUACGGCUACCCAUCAUACGUAUAGACUAAUUAACUCAACACAUAGUUCAAGUAGAAUCAUUAUAUCACCGUAUAUUUGUUAUGCUCAUACGUCAUGACUUAAUCAAAUCAUAAACUAAGUCUCAUUACUCGAAAACUUACCUCGGAUGUUGUCGAACGAUUUCGAUGGCUAUUCGAUCACUUUUUCCUUCCCUUUAUCGGAUUUAGUUCCCCUUUGCUCUUGAGCUUAAUAUUAACAAAUAAAUUGAUUUAAUCAUUUUGAACAUCAAAUAGGAAUUCAAGGUACUUAGCCCUUAUAUAUUAGGCAUUAGAGUCAUAUAUGUAUGAUAUCACGAAUCAAAUUCAACAUAUUAGCCAAUAUUCUCCUUAGUCGAAUUUUCUAAGUCAAGAUAAAGCCAUCAAUAUGCUUACCUAUGGCCGAACAUACACAACAACCUAUGUACUCAUUCAUGUAGCCGAAUAUGCAUGUCUAUGUUGAGGCCGAUUGUAUACUUAAUACAUUCCAAAAAUAUGGUCACUUGUAUUGACUAAAUACCAUUUUGUUUCAAGUUUAAAACUCGGCUAAUACACAUAUAUACACUAGAAAUCAAAUACUAACAUUUGCACUUCACCUUAAUAUCUAGCUUAGCAAACCUUGAUUUAACAUAUAAUUGUUCAUAACACAAUUUAAGCAUACUCUCCAUUCCAUCAAUUCCAAAACACAUACAUUACUCAAUAAUGUUCAAAAUUAUAUUUGGCCUUAACACACAACUUGCUAGCCGAUUCUUCUCCAUCUAGCAACUAAUGCACAUGUGUGCUCAUUUGUUAGACUCUACUUCAUCUAACAACAACCAUAUUUUUCUUCUACUUCCUACCAUGGCCGAAUGCUCAAGAUACCUCAAUACCGAAAAUUUUAACUUAGGUUGCUUAAAGAACUUGGUGAUGAGUUUAAAUUUAUCUAACACCUCAAGCAUCAUAACACAUCCAUAUAGCUAACAUGCUAAUAGUAUCAAGGCUUCAACCGAAACUUUUGAAGCCUCUUAGUCGAAUACUAACUCUCUAAUAACCCCAAAUCCAUCCAUGAGAUAGUUAGAAUUUAGACUAAUCAUCCAAGGGAUGUAUGAACUUUCAAAGCAACAUUAAACAUACCUUAAUCUAGUGAACCACCAUGACCGAUUUUCUCCAAGCUCUUUCCCUUCCUUUCUUUCCUCUAUUCGGCCAAAGAUGUUCAAGAAUGAACACUUUUUUUUUGUUUUCUUUCUUCAAUUCACGGCAAUAGUGGGGAAACAUGGAUGAGACAAUUUUUUUUCAUCACUCCUCCCUUUGCAUUACUUUAAUACUAACCCCUUUUUUUAUUCUUUCUAACAUAACACACUAACACAACAUGUUUACAACAUGUUUCCACCCAUAGCAUGGCCGGCCAUUAGCUCAAUUUUUGGGUAAUUUGACAUGCAAACCCAUCAUUUUUAUAACAUGCAUUAAUAGGCCACUUUACAUUUGCCUAGCACAUUUCUAAAUUUUCUCACAUAAGUCCUAUUUACUAAAAUUCACCUAGAAUUAACAAAAUUCAAAUAUGAAAUUUUCACACAUGCAUAUAUACAUAAAAUAAGCAUCAAACAUGACAGCUAAUUAUUUUUAUGACUCGGUUUUGUGGUCCCGAAACCACUUCCCGACUAAGUUCACAUUAGGGCUGUCACAACUCUCCCCCACUUAAGAAAUUUUCGUCCCCAAAAAUCUUACCAGUAAAUAGGUUUGGGUAUCGUUCUUUCAUAGAGUUCUCGGUUUCCCAAGUAGCUUCUUCGAUUCCGUGUUUGAGCCAUAACACUUUUACUAACGGAACCCUUUUGUUUCGCAACUCUUUCACUUCACGAGCUAGGAUACGAAUCGGUUCUUCUUCAUAACUCAUGUCGGAUUGAAUUUCAACCUCUGAUGGAUUAAUUACGUGUGAUGGAUCAGAUCUAUAACGUCGAAGCAUCGAAACAUGAAAGACGUCGUGAAUCUUUUCAAGUUCAGGGGGCAAAAUCAAUCUAUACGCAACUAGACCAAUUCGUUCGGAUACUUCAUAUGGCCCUAUGAACCUUGGACUCAGUUUUCCCUUACGGCCAAAUCUGAGUAUCUUUUUCCAAGGUGACACCUUAAGAAAUACUUUGUCUCCCACCUGAUACUCAAUAUCUCUUCGUUUUAAAUCUGCGUACGACUUCUGACGAUCUGAUGCUGCCUUUAGACUUUCACGAAUUAUCUUUACUUUCUGUUCAGCAUCUUUGAUUAAAUCAACUCCGAAAAUUUUACUUUCACCGAGCUCGGUCCAAAACAAUGGUGUUCGGCAUUUUCGACCGUACAAAGCCUCGUAAGGCACCAUCUUAAUGCUUGACUGAAAACUAUUGUUGUAAGCGAACUCAAUCAAAGGUAGAUACCGUUCCCAUGAACCACUAAACUCAAGGAUGCAGCAUCUCAACAUAUCCUCGAGUAUCUGAAUUAUCCGCUCGGAUUGACCAUCGGUUUGGGGAUGAAAAGCGGUGCUAAAAUGCAACUUGGUGCCCAAGGCUUCUUGCAAUUUCUUCCAAAAUCGCGAGGUGAAUCUCGGAUCUCUAUCCGAUGCAAUAGAAAUAGGUACCCCAUGUAAUCUCACAAUCUGAGAAACAUACAAUUCAGCAAGUUUAUCCAAUGAAAAAUCCGUACGUACGGGGAUAAAAUGAGCCGACUUAGUCAGUCUAUCAACAACAACCCAAAUCGCAUCUUUCUUACUUGUCGACAAUGGCAACCCAGACACAAAAUCCAUCAUGACUCGAUCCCAUUUCCAUUCAGGUACCAUGAUCGGCUGGAGUAAACCCGUAGACACUUGAUGUUCCGCCUUUACUUGCUGACAUAUUAAACACUUCGAAACAAAAUCGGAAAUGUCUCGUUUCAUACCAUGCCACCAAAACUGACGUCUCAGGUCGUUGUACAUUUUCGUACUCCCUGGGUGAAUUGACAUUCGGCAACAAUGAGCUUCGUUCAGAAUCAUCGUAAUAAGUUCUGAAUUUCUUGGGACACACAAACGACUUCUGAACCUCAAACAAUCGUCAUCGUCAAUUUGAAACUCUGAUUCCAUGUUCGAAACACAUUCAGCCCGUUUUGCAACCAAUUCAUCAUCGACUUUCUGAGCUUCACGAAUUUGAUGAAUCAAUAAUGGUUUGGCCUUUAAUUCAGCUACUAACACAUUGUCGGGUAGAACAGACAAGUGUGCAUUCAUCGCUCGUAAAGCAAACAGUGAUUUCCGGCUUAAGGCGUCCGCAACCACAUUAGCCUUUCCCCGGUGAUAAUCAAAGACAAGCUCAUAAUCUUUCAACAACUCAAGCCAACGCCUUUGUCGCAGAUUCAAGUCUCGUUGAGUCAUCAAAUAUUUGAGACUUUUGUGAUUCGAAUAUACAUGGCACUUCUCACCAAAUAAAUAAUGUCGCCAUAUUUUCAAGGCGAACAAGAUGGCAGCUAGUUCGAGAUCAUGGGUCGGAUAAUUUUUCUCGUGUGGCUUCAAUUGUCUUGACGCAUAGGCCACAACUCAACCUUCUUGCAUCAAUACGCAACCCAACCCAAGUAGGAAGGCAUCACUAUAAAAGACAAACUCUUUGCCUGAUUCGGGCUGCACUAGAACUGGAGCUUCCGUCAAAUGGGUUUUCAAUUGAUCGAAACUUUUCUAACACCUUUCCGUCCAUUCAAACUUAACAUCUUUUUGAAGUAGCUUCGUUAUUGGUGUGGCUAUCAUCGAGAAACCUUUUACAAACCGUCGGUAGUAACCGGUAAGUCCCAAAAAGCUCCAAACUUCAGUAAUAUUUCUGGAGGCUUCCAGUUAAGUAUGGCUGAAAUUUUGCUCGGAUCGACUCGAAUGCCCGAUGCAGAUACCACGUGACCCAGGAAGCUAACCUCUCUUAACCAGAACUCACACUUACUGAACUUAGCAUAUAACUGCUUAUCUCGUAAGAUCUGCAGCACUAAUCUCAAGUGUUCAGCAUGCUUGGUUUCAUCUCUUGAGUAAACCAAGAUGUCAUCAAUAAACACAACUACAAACCAAUCCAAAUACGGUCUAAAGAUCCGAUUCAUCAAAUCCAUAAAUACCGCAGGGGCAUUAGUGAGCCCAAACGGCAUCACUAAGAACUCGUAGUGACUGUAUCUCGUUCUGAAAGCAGUUUUGGGUAUAUCCGAAUCUCGAAUUUGCAACUGAUAAUAACCCGAUCUCAAAUCUAUCUUUGAAAACACCGAGGCUCCCUUUAGUUGAUCAAACAAAUCGUCAAUGUGCGGUAACGGAUAUUUAUUCUUUAUUGUCACCUUAUUCAGUUGACGAUAGUCGAUGCACAACCUCAUGGUUCCGUCCUUCUUUUUCACAAACAAUACUGGUGCACCCCAAGGUGAGAAACUUGGUCGAGCGAAACCUCUAUCCGUCAACUCUUGCAACUGAGCUUUCAACUCUUUUAACUCGGUUGGUGCCAUACGAUACGGAGCUAUCGAAAUCGGUGUAGUCCCAGGUACAAGCUCAAUACCAAACUCUACCUCCCGAACAGGUGGUAAACCCGGUAAUUCUUCGGGAAAAACAUCUGGGUAUUCACAAACCACCGGCACAGAUUCAAGUUUCCUUUCUGGCUCUUUAUUAUCAAGUACGUAUGCAAGAUACGCUUCACACCCCUUUCUCACAUAUCUUUGAGCUAACAUCGAGGAUAUUAUUGUUGACAAUCCACUCAAGACAGUAGACUCAACUCGGAUUAUCUCAUUAUUUGUGCACCUUAAAUCAAUAGUCUUGCUUUUGCAAUUCACAACCGCAUCAUGCACGGUCAACCAAUCCAAACCAAGAAUAACAUCAAAUUCAUCAAACGGAAAAAGCAUCAAGUCCGCCGAAAAACAAGAACCUCGAAUUACUAGGGGACAUUUCUUACACACUUUGUCGACAAGCACGUAACGACCCAAGGGAUUUGACACCCGAAUUACAAACUCAGUAGACUCAACAGGUAGAGUCUUACUGGAAGCUAAGGUUUCACAUAUAUAAGAAUGAGUAGAACCAGGGUCAAUCAAAGCAAUCACAUUAGUAUCAAAAAGAGUAAAAGUACCGGUAAUAACAUCUGGCGAGGAAGCAUACUCGCGUGCGCGUAUAGCGUAAGCUCUAGCAGGAGCGCGAGCCUCAGAUCUGGUUGUAGCAUCUCUAGAUCCUCUCUGACCACCACUAGGAUUUCCCGUGUUUCUAGAUGGUCUACCUCGAGCAGUGGUAGCACCCGGUUUCCCACUCUGAUUUACAUUCUGUUCAGACAACCUCGGGCAAUCUUUAAUAAAGUGGUCAACUGAUCCACACUUGUAACAGGAGCGGUCAUGGAAUCUACAACUCCCCAAAUGCCAUUUACCACAAUACUGGCACUCCGUUCUAUCUCGACGAUCAUUUCCAACACUGGCGACCGAAGUGACUCGUACACUCACAGGGGGUCGAUCGCGAUCUCGUCUAGAAAAGCCCGAAGUGUCUCUAGAUCAGCCUAGAUCAUCUCUAAAUUUCUUCGAUGACAGUUGGAAGGGCUUUCCCGAAGAUCUCUUACGAAACUCCUUUGCUCCCAUAUCAGCUUUCCUUUUCUCCUUACUGAGCUCCUCGGCUUUGCAAGCUCGCUCGACAAGUACCACAAAUUCUCAGAUUUCUAAAAUGCCAACAUACAUCUUUAUAUCAUCAUUCAGUCCAUCUUCGAAACGUUUACACAUCACGGCUUCUGAAGAAAUGCAUUUUCGUGCGUACCAGCUAAGCCUCACAAAUUUUCGUUCAUAGUCGGUAACCGACAUGGAACCUUGUUUAAGUUCAAGAAAUUCCUUCCGUUUUUGGUCAAUGAAUCUCUGACUGAUAUACUUCUUUCAAAACUCAGUUUGGAAAAACUCCCAAGUUACUUGCUCUCUGGGCACAACAGAAGUCAACGUAUUCCACCAAUAGUAGGCAGAAUCACGUAGCAAGGAGAUAGUACACUUUAGGCACUCAUCGGGUGUGCAAGAUAGCUCAUCGAGUACCCGAAUAGUGUUGUCCAACCAAAAUUCUGCUUGUUCGGCAUCAUCGCUGUCCGUAGCUUUAAAUUCAGUAGCCCCGUGUUUUCGGAUUCUGUCAACUGGGGGCUUAUUUGACCUUAUUUGGUCAGUUACCGGAGGUAUUGUAGGUGCGGGGGUUGUAUUUGUCGGGAAUGGAGGUUGUGGAACAGCCGUAUUAGUUCGAAUGUAUUGGUUGAACCAAUCAUUCAUCACGCUAUAAAAAGCUUGUCUAGCCUCAUCAUUCGGAUUACUAGCAAUAGGUUGAGAGUCCGCCGGCGCUGUCCCUUGUGCGGGAGCAGGCGCUACACUCUCAAGAUCAUCAGCUACCACUCGGUCGGGAUCGGGAUCCAUUACUAUAAAUAAACACAUUUUCAAUUGUCAGAAAUCACCACACUAUCAAAUAAUCACAUAAUGGCAUGUAUAGCUAGACCCAAACGUAUUACGGUAGUCCUAGAAUCGAAUAAACCGUAGCUCUGAUACCAAUAAAAUUGUAACACCCCGUACCUGAGACUGUUUUCAGAGUCGGACACGAGGGGUUAACAGACUUAAUUCACUUAUUUGCACAGUCCAUUUUAAAUUUCCAGACGAGCUGGCUAACUGCGUCACUGUCACCUUAAAAAUCAUAUCUCGAGUUCCAAAAUUCGAAAACCAGUUCCGUAAAUUUUUCCUGAAACUGACUCAUAUAUCCAUCUACAAAUUUUUUUCUAGAAUUUUUGGUCGAGCCAAUUAGUAAAGUUUAUUAGUUAAAGUCUCCCCUGUUACAGGGUUCGACUAUUCUGACCUUCAUGCAUUACGACUUGGAUAUCUCCCAGUACAGGGCUUCAAUACUGAUGCCGUUUGUUUCUAUAGAAACUAGACUCGAAAAGGAAUCUAUAAAUAUAUGGCAUGGAUUCUAAUUAUCUCUGGUUAAUUUAUAAUGAAUUUCCAAAGUCGGAACAGGGAAUCUAGAAACCGUUCUAGCCCUGUUUCGCAAAAACUUUAAAAUCUCAUAAAAUACUGUUCAUAUGAUCGUUUCAUUACUUCCCUAUGAAAAUAGAUUCAUCAAGGUUCAAUUACAUAAUUUAUUCACUAUUUAAUUCCAUUCUUACUAUUUUUAGUAAUUUUUCAAAUCCACACCACUACUGCUGUCAGCAUCUGUUUUUAAGGUAGACUUUACCUAUUUCAUAGUUUCCAUGAUUCAACUAGCCCUUUAGCAUAUAUAGCACAAAAUAUGAUCUUGAUUAACCAUUCCAAUGGCUAAUCGUUUCCAAACAUUUCCAUACCUCUUAAUGAACAACAUACAAAACGAUUAUAAUACUAUGCUCAAAGUGUAUAUAAGCCAUUUUCGCAUGGCUAUCCAAAUUUAUACAAAACCAAAGGGUACAUGACCAACAACAAAAAGGGUAGUCCUAUACAUGCCAUUUUCAGAGUUCAACCAAAAGUGUACCAAAAGGGCUUUGAUAGUGUGGACGACUUCGACUUCGACUUCGACAAUCCCGAGUCCGAUAGCUGACGAACCAAAAUCUAUAAAACAGAGAUUCAAAGAACGGAGUAAGCAUUUAAUGCUUAGUAAGUUUUGAGCAAUGAAAUUAGGCACAAUUGAAGUAUAGCAUUCAUAUAACUAAACGGAUAAUUUCAUAUACACAUGUUCACAACAAUCAGUCCUACUUCACAUUUCCAACCCUUAUAUUCAUACAUAAGGGAUCAACUUAACCAAAAGCCGGAAGCUCAUUAAUCGACUGAGCGAAUAAUAUUUAAACGGAAUCAUUACUCAAAUGCAUAUACGAAACGUACCUCAUCGUUGGGAUUUUACGAGCGUGUUAAUUGAAAUUAUUAUAGCAAGAUCGCUCAUUCCCAACCAAGUACCUUCGGGGUUUAGCCGAAUAUAGCUACUCGCUCAAAUGCCUUCGGGACUUAGCCCGGUUAUAGUAACUCGCACAAUUGCCUUCGGGACUUAACCCGGAAAUAGUAACUCGCACAAAUGCCUUCGAGACUUAGCCCGAAAAUAGUAACUCGCACAAAUGCCUUCGGGACUUAGCCCGGUUAUCAUCCGAGUAUUCAUGCACAUAUCAAUAAAUCAUGACACAUCUCUAUUUCAUUUUCAUAACUAGAAUUCAAACACAAGUCACCUAUUAAGCAUUCCCAUUUUCAGCUCAAUAGCCACUUACAAACAGCAUGGUUUGGUUUGCUUUAUGACAUGAUCUCUAUGCACAUACGGCUACCCGUCAUACGUAUAGACUAAUUAACUCAACACAUAGUUCAAGUAGAAUCAUUAUAUCACCGUAUAUUUGUUAUGCUCAUACGUCAUGACUUAAUCAAAUCAUAAACUAAGUCUCAUUACUCGAAAACUUACCUCGGAUGUUGUCGAACGAUUUCGAUGGCUAUUCGAUCACUUUUUCCUUCCCUUUAUCGGAUUUAGUUCCCCUUUGCUCUUGAGCUUAAUAUUAACAAAUAAAUUGAUUUAAUCAUUUUGAACAUCAAAGAGGAAUUCAAGGUACUUAGCCCUUAUAUAUUAGGCAUUAGAGUCAUAUAUGUAUGAAAUCACGAAUCAAAUUCAACAUAUUAGCCAAUAUUCUCCUUAGUCGAAUUUUCUAAGUCAAGAUAAAGCCAUCAAUAUGCUUACCUAUGGCCGAACAUACACAACAACCUAUGUACUGAUUCAUGUGGCCGAAUAUGCAUGUCUAUGUUGAGGCCGAUUGUAUACUUAAUACAUUCUACAAAUAUGGUCACUUGUAUUGACUAAAUACCAUUUUGUUUCAAGUUCAAAACUCGACUAAUACACAUAUAUACACUAGAAAUCAAAUACUAACAUUUGCACUUCACCUUAAUAUCUAGCUUAGCAAACCUUGAUUUAACAUAUAAUUGUUCAUAACACAAUUUAAGCAUACUCUCCAUUCCAUCAAUUCCAAAACACAUACAUUACUCAAUAAUGUUCAAAAUUAUAUUCGGCCUUAGCACACAACUUGCUAACCGAUUCUUCUCCAUCUAGCAACUAAUGCACAUGUGUACUCAUUUGUUAGACUCUACUUCAUCUAACAACAACCAUAUUUUUCUUCUACUUCCUACCAUGGCCGAAUGCUCAAGAUACCUCAAUACUGAAACUUUUAACUUGGGUUGCUUAAAGAACUUGGUGAUGAGUUUAAAUUUAUCUAACACCUCAAGCAUCAUAACACAUCCAUAUAGCUAACAUGCUAAUAGUAUCAAGGCUUCAACCGAAACUUUUGAAGCCUCUUAGUCGAAUACUAACUCUCUAAUAACCCCAAAUCCAUCCAUGAGAUAGUUAGAAUUUAGACUAAUCAUCCAAGGGAUGUAUGAACUUUCAAAGCAACAUUAAACAUACCUUAAUCUAGUGAACCACCAUAGCCGAUUUUCUCCAAGCUCUUUCCCUUCCUUUCUUUCCUCUAUUCGGCCAAAGAUGUUCAAGAAUGAACACUUUUUUUUUUGUUUUCUUUCUUCAAUUCACGGCUAUGGGGGGGAAACAUGGAUGAGACAAUUUUUUUUCAUCACUCCUCCCUUUGCAUUACUUUAAUACUAACCCCUUUUUUUUAUUCUUUCUAACAUAACACACUAACACAACAUGUUUACAACAUGUUUCCACCCAUAGCAUGGCCGGCCACUAGCUCAAUUUUUGGGUAAUUUGACAUGCAAACCCAUCAUUUUUAUAACAUGCAUUAAUAGGCCACUUUACAUUUGCCUAGCACAUUUCUAAAUUUUCUCACAUAAGUUCUAUUUACUAAAAUUCACCUAGAAUUAACAAAAUUCAAAUAUGAAAUUUUCACACAUGCAUAUAUACAUAAAAUAAGCAUCAAACAUGACAGCUAAUUAUUUUUAUGACUCAGUUUUGUGGUCCCGAAACCACUUCCCGACUAGGGUCACAUUAGGGCUGUCACACGCCAAACAUCGAACAUCGCCUUCGUUUUGCAAGGUUUUUAAUAAACAUGAAUCAAAACCUAAAGGAAUAUUCGAUUGUUUUGAACAAACGAAAAAUCACAACCCAGCACGAUAGGGCAUGAUUCCCGAAUUGUCAAACACCGAGUAUUGCCUUCGUUUUAAAGGAUUUUUAGAAGACACGAGUGAAACUUUGAAGGGAUAUUCGAUUAUUUUGAGCAAACGCGAAAUUGCAACCCAACACGUUAGGGCACGAUUCCGCAAAUUGCCAAAUAUCGAAUCUCGUCUUCGUUUUAAAGAAUUUUUAAAAAAAAUUGUGAAACUAGCUUAAAACGCAUCGAUUCGAUUUGAAAUAAGACGACAUUGAUCACGAAAUUUGGGUUUUAUAAAACCACAUUUCAAAAAUCAAGUGGAAAACAUUGAAUGGGGUAAUAUGUGUAUGCAUAAAAAUACGACAAUGAAAAAAAUGAAGGUAAUACAAUCAACUACAAGAACUUAAAUGAAUAAGCAUAACUAGUUUAGAAAUAUAACUCAAUUUCAACCAUGCCUGAAGAAUAAUUAACAAGGCCAUAUGAAACAAUGAAUAAAUAAAAUGCAACGGCAGAAUAUAUGGCAUAAUAAAAUUAUUAGAGGCACAAAAUAAAAUGCAAAUCAAAGAAGCAACAUGGGAUAAAACUAUUUCACAAUAAUGACGAAUAAAUGGACGUAUAAAAUAUAAGUUGACCAACUACAUGAUGAUUUAAAUAAUGUAAUAUAAAAGAAUGAGAAUGAAGAUAUAUGACAAGACUUAAUACACAAAAUAGAUUUAUAAAACAUAUGUACAUGCAAGUUUGUUAUAAAAAGGAACAUAAGAUUAUACAUAUCCUUAUAUCAAAACGUUUAAAAUAAUAGACUACACAAACACCUAAGCGAUAUAAUAUAUAGAUCUACUCAAAGAUAAUAAUUUUAUAAUUACAAAAAAAAAUGAAGUUUCCAAAAUUAUUUCAUAUAUGUAUAUUGAAAAUACUUGAUAAAUCACAAAGCAAAAAGGGUUUUAAAAAUAGAAAAAUCCAUUAAAGUAGUGAAUGUAUUAAUAUAUAUAUACAUAAAUUUAAAAGUAAUUACAUGUAAAUUUGUAUAGAAAAUGAUAAUACGUAUAGGUUAAAAAAUGUAUGUAAGUCAAAUAUAUAUGCUAUUAUAGGUAAGUAUAAAAAUAAUUUAUAUAGAACAUAUAUACAAAACAUAUUAUCAUAGCAAAAAUAUACAUUAAAAUACAUGGGUCUAAUAAUAUAUAGACCAAAUAUAAAUAACGAUAAAAAUAUAUAAUAAUAAUUUAAAAAAUAUGUUAUGUAAGAUUAUAUAAUAAAAGACGAGAAUAAAUUUAAAAGGUUAUAUGCGUAAAAUAAUAUAGAAUUAAUAAGAUGCAUAGAAUAAAAUAAUUUUACUAUAAGGUAUGUAUACAUAUGUAUAAUAGCGUAUAUAUAAAAAAAUAAAACAUUACAAUAGUGGUUUUAAAAUGAAAUAAAAUUAUUAAAAUAAUUUAUAAAAUAAAAAAUAGGGACAAAUUAUAAAGGGAAUGAACUAUUUAGAUAAAAGGGGGAUCUAAUCAAAAUACAAUUACAAUGAAUGGGCUAAUUUAUAAAUAAAGUAAUCAAAAAGGGGACCAAAGUGCGAAAUUCACAAAUGCGUAGGGACCCAGAAUGGAAUUAAUCUAUGCCCUAAAACGCUGCGCACAAGCGCGGACUUGAUUGCGAAAUAGAGCAAAUUAUAGGAAGAAAUUAAAAAGCAAAAAGAAGCGCAGAUGGGCUGGUUUAAACGCGGGGCAAAAGGGGGGGGAUUUAAUGUGAAAUUAACCCCUCACCGCGAAAACACGUGGAUCCCAGGGGCUAUCGGGUCGGGUCGUCGGGCAUAGUGUCAAACGACGUCGUUUUCUGGCCAUUACAUUUGGCCCAAACGGCGCCGUUUUUGCUCCUUUAAAAGGCUAAAUAAGGAUUCAUUCAGCCGAACCCUAGCAGGACAUUAGCCUCCCCCUUUUUCUUCUCAUUUGACAAACCCUAGAUCCCCUUUCCUCCAUUGAUUCCCAUUCCCCGGACAAUCACCUGCACAUCAUGCCUAGAGGACGAGAGUUUUAGCCUCUAGGUCUCCCUCUGACUUCGAUUUCAACAAAGUAGAGGGUGACCCAUGACGCACGUACCAGGUAAGCCCCUUUUCCUCCUUUCUUUCUCUUAUUUUCUUUCACAUAUAAGAACCACAAAUCAAAAAAAAAAAAGGAAACUAAAGGAAAUAAAGCAUUUAGAGAUCUCUUAAUCGGAAAUCACCUUCUAUUUUUGCUUUCUAUUUCUUCUGUAUGCUUGAGUAAAAAAGAACCCUUAUACAAUAUAAACUCAUCGGCUUUAUAGCCGAAUGUUCAAAAAAAAGAAAUAAAAGAAUACAAUUUUGUUCUUUUUUGUAUUGGCCAUUGUUGCUGUUGUCCUUUUGUCCAUUUCUUUGCAGGUACAGGUGCGCUGGCGUCGUGCAGAGACUGUGCUGGCGUACGAGGGCUGUUGACGUGGAGGCACGAACGUUGUACGGCGCCUGGAGGCUGCUGGGGGUGUUGCGGCGCAAGCCAAGGCUGCUAGGGUUUCUGCCUUGGCUCUUGUUUUAGACAUUAGGCCUAUUGGGCCUGUAUUUGGGUCUUGGAUUUUUUAAAAAUAGGUCUAGGUUAUGUAAUUGGGUUUGGGCUAUGUAAUUGGACUUUAAACAUUUAAUGGGCUGUUAUAAAUUUAUUUAUUUUUAUUUUUAGUUUGUUUUUUUGUUUUUAUAUGGGUGGGGCAAAUUUGGCCUACUACAAUGAUUAUGAUAUUAAUUUAAUUAUUUAAUUGACUUUUUAAAUGUAUAAAUAAAUCUAGAGCAUGAAUUAUGAUUGUUGUGAAAAACAAAAUUAAGAAUUGCAAUAUUAGAUUUUUUAAGAUGAUGUUAUUUUAUUUUACAAAGCCUAAAUUUAAUAAAAAAACUGACCAAAUGAAUUCAACUAUAAUUAUCACUUAAGACAUUAUCAAUUUCAAAAGUAAAAAAACCAAAUAAAACAAUUUAAUUCAAACAAACCCGAAUUGAAUACACCCCUACAUAUCAACAACAGCACAUGAGAGAGCUAAAAGAGCAAACCCAACAACAAUACAAUUUCAUUAUCCUUCUUUUAAUAUUCAACUAGUUUUGGGCUAUUCUCUAAAACUAAAAGUUGUAACGGUGGAAAGGUGA